CAUCAGCCACGGCGCGGUGAAUACGUUCCCGGGCCUUGUACACACCGCCCGUCAAGCCAUGGAAGCCGGGAGUGCCUGAAGUUCGUGACCGUCACAGGAGCGACCUAAGGCAAGACCGAUGACUGGGGCUAAGUCGUAACAAGGUAUC
rnacentral:rRNA from 1 species